rnacentral:rRNA from 1 species
GCUCGAGUGGCGAACGGGUGAGUAACACGUGAGUAACCUGCCCUUGACUUUGGGAUAACUUCAGGAAACUGGGGCUAACACCGGAUAGGAGCUCCUGCUGCAUGGUGGGGGUUGGAAAGUUUCGGCGGUUGGGGAUGGACUCGCGGCUUAUCAGCUUGUUGGUGGGGUAGUGGCUUACCAAGGCUUUGACGGGUAGCCGGCCUGAGAGGGUGACCGGCCACAUUGGGACUGAGAUACGGCCCAG